GCCAUGACAGUGCUGGGACAAGGAGCAAGAACCUGGAUUCCAUUUCUAGCACCUACAUCCUUCCAGAACUGCAGCUCUAACCCCAUGGGUCUGACUCCCUCUUCUGUUCUCCCAGGGCACCAGGCACACGCAGCACUCAGAGCCAGCCAGCGAGGGAUUCAAAGGCCUAUGGGGGAAACCUGGCAGACAUGGGACCUCAGCUAACUCCCAUAAUCUCCCUGAGGAUCAGAUUUUCCAAUUUAGUGGAAUACAUAAGGCUCCCAGAUGCCAGUCACUGAGGAGUUACAGAUGCUGGACACACCUCUGCGGCCUGUCAGUGUUUGGAUUUCAAAUGCUGGUCAUGUCCCAGUGGCUCUUUCAGACAUCACACUGGCUACUACGCAUCCUGUCUCUCUCUCUGUUCUCACUGCAGACUCUGGCUCCGGCCAGGUUUCUGCCCCAAAGAAUACUGGAAGGUUCUGAUUCGGUUUCUUCCCCGUGGUCUAGAGGUGUUCAGGUUUCAGCACGUGGUCCCAUGAUACUUGCUCUGGAUUCUCAGAGGGUGCAGUCCAGGGAAGGUUAGGAGCCACAAAGCCACUGCCUCAGCCCAGGGGCUUUUAAAAUGAUGUCUUGUCCCACUUUGGUGGAGAGACAGGAAGAGAGCAGUCCUCGUGUCUCUCCUCCCUCCUACUGUACUCAAACUGUGUCUCUCUUCCUCCAUUCUUUUUACCCCUCUGUCUUUUCAAAAUGUCUGUCAGUGAGAACACAGUGCCAGUUUCCAUGGCUCUGAUCCCUCCCGCUCCCGAGCACACCAACCCCUCAGGGACUGUCCUUUUUCCUGUUCUGGUCUAUUUGAUACUACAGGAUGGAGAACAUCUUCAGUGUUUUUCAGAGUUAAUUAACAUGUUGACUUUUAUAAUCAACCAUCCUUUGCGUAAAGAUGUACAAAACGUGAGUAGUGCACGGAGAGCCGUUUUCAGACAUUACUGGAGUUUGUUUUACUCCAGAGCCAAAAAUCAUUCUAGAUUUUUAAAUUAUUUUUAAACCCAAGUCAGAAACUCAAAUCAUGAUUUUUGCAAUCAAAUAUUUUAGCCCACGAUAAUCCAAAGAUAUACUUACUUGAUAUAUGUUGAAAAAUGAAGCUAGGAAAAUAUUAAAAGGGUUUUUUUUUUUUGUAUACUUAAGCCAUUAUGUUUCUAUAAGAACAGAAAAGUUUGUAUGUACAGUAAAAACACUGAAGUUCAUAAC